rnacentral:rRNA from 1 species
GAUGAACGCUGGCGGCGUGCCUAAUACAUGCAAGUCGAACGAAACUUCUUUAUCACCGAGUGCUUGCACUCACCGAUAAAGAGUUGAGUGGCGAACGGGUGAGUAACACGUGGGCAACCUGCCCAAAAGAGGGGGAUAACACUUGGAAACAGGUGCUAAUACCGCAUAACCAUAGUUACCGCAUGGUAACUAUGUAAAAGGUGGCUAUACUACCGCUUUUGGAUGGGCCCGCGGCGCAUUAGCUAGUUGGUAGGGUAAAGGCUUACCAAGGCAAUGAUGCGUAGCCGAAUUGAGAGGGUGAUCGACCACAUUGGGACUGAGACACGGCCCAAACUCCUACGGGAGGCAGCAGUAGGGAAUCUUCCACAAUGGGCGAAAGCCUGAUGGAGCAACGCCGCGUGGGUGAAGAAGGUCUUCGGAUCGUAAAACCCUGUUGUUAGAGAAGAAAGUGCGUGAGAGUAACUGUUCACGUUUCGACGGUAUCUAACCAGAAAGCCACGGCUAACUACGUG